rnacentral:rRNA from 1 species
AGUGAACGCUGGCGGCAGGCCUAAUACAUGCAAGUCGAACGGCAGCACAGCAGAGCUUGCUCUGUGGGUGGCGAGUGGCGGACGGGUGAGGAAUACGUGGGAAUCUGCCCAGUCGUGGGGGAUAACGUAGGGAAACUUACGCUAAUACCGCAUGCGCCCUUCGGGGAAAGCCGGGGACCUUCGGGCCUGGCGCGAUUGGAUGAGCCCACGUCGGAUUAGCUAGUUGGCGGGGUAAAGGCCCACCAAGGCGACGAUCCGUAGCUGGUCUGAGAGGAUGAUCAGCCACACUGGAACUGAGACACGGUCCAGACUCCUACGGGAGGCAGCAGUAGGGAAUAUUGGACAAUGGGCGCAAGCCUGAUCCAGCCAUGCCGCGUGAGUGAAGAAGGACCCUCGGGUUGUAAAGCUCUUUGUCCGGAAAG